AUUGAACGCUGGCGGCAGGCCUAACACAUGCAAGUCGAGCGGAUGAAGGGAGCUUGCUCCUGGAUUCAGCGGCGGACGGGUGAGUAAUGCCUAGGAAUCUGCCUGGUAGUGGGGGAUAACGUCCGGAAACGGGCGCUAAUACCGCAUACGUCCUGAGGGAGAAAGUGGGGGAUCUUCGGACCUCACGCUCUCAGAUGAGCCUAGGUCGGAUUAGCUAGUUGGUGGGGUAAAGGCCUACCAAGGCGACGAUCCGUAACUGGUCUGAGAGGAUGAUCAGUCACACUGGAACUGAGACACGGUCCAGACUCCUACGGGAGGCAGCAGUGGGGAAUAUUGGACAAUGGGCGAAAGCCUGAUCCAGCCAUGCCGCGUGUGUGAAGAAGGUCUUCGGAUUGUUAAGCACUUUAAGUUGGGAGGAAGGGCAGUAAGUUAAUACCUUGCUGUUUUGACGUUACCAACAGAAUAAGCACCGGCUAACUUCGUG
rnacentral:rRNA from 1 species